rnacentral:rRNA from 1 species
GACGAACGCUGGCGGCGUGCUUCAUACAUGCAAGUCGAGCGGGGUCCAUCCAGUGGCAACACUGGUGAAGACCGAGCGGCGAACGGGUGAGUAACACGUGAGGAACCUGCCCCAGAGACCGGGAUAACUCUCCGAAAGGAGAGCUACUACCGGAUGCCCCCACCGGACCGCAUGGCCUGGUGAGGAAAUGGAUUCCGCUCUGGGAGGGCCUCGCGGCCUAUAAUCUUGUUGGUGAGGUAACGGCUCACCAAGGCGUCGAGGGGUAGCUGGUCUGAGAGGACGGUCAGCCACACUGGGACUGAGACACGGCCCAGACUCCUACGGGAGGCAGCAGUAGGGAAUCUUGCGCAAUGGGCGAAAGCCUGACGCAGCAACGCCGCGUGAGGGAUGACGGCCUUCGGGUUGUAAACCUCUUUCAGCAGGGAAGAAGCGAAAGUGACGGUACCUGCAGAAGAAGCACCGGCUAACUACGUGCCAGCAGCCGCCGUAAUAC